UACGUAGGGCGCAAGCGUUGUCCGGAAUUAUUGGGCGUAAAGAGCUCGUAGGCGGUUUGUCGCGUCUGCUGUGAAAACCUAAGGCUCAACCUUGGGCUUGCAGUGGGUACGGGCAGACUAGAGUGCGGUAGGGGUGACUGGAAUUCCUGGUGUAGCGGUGGAAUGCGCAGAUAUCAGGAGGAACACCGAUGGCGAAGGCAGGUCACUGGGCCGCAACUGACGCUGGAGGAGCGGAAA
rnacentral:rRNA from 1 species